rnacentral:piRNA from 1 species
UGCCAGCUAACAGUUUCCCAAUGA